GAGAAGGUUCAGCAGGGAAGGAGGAGUGGAGUGGGGUUGGAGAGGCCGCCUGCUCCCACCUUGCUGGAAGUCGAGUGGCCUGAACACGGAGCAGACUAACCAUCGUAUUGAAUCCUAUCAGUUAAAUAGAGUUGAGAGACCAGAAGGGGGAGCUCUCACACCCUGGGACAAUAGUAGAGCCCAACAGGAAGAAUAAAGACUUUUUCUUUGCUGGCAAGGACUCAACCGAUGAAAAGUCGUGGACUCUGUUUACUGCAAGCCUCCCAAUUUCCUUUUCCUCUCAAUAAAAAUGUUCCUUCCCUUGGUGUGGGGAAGACUUGGCAGUGACUGGCCAUGGUUGCAGACCUUAAACUGCGAUUCUUUGUUGAUCCCCAGUAAACCCGUCUUUGCAGGAGACAUAUCUGGCAGUCUGUUUGUCUCAGGUCAACAGAGCCCAUUCCUUUCCCCUCCACUUCUGUCACUCUGAUGCUAAUUCUCUCUGGAUCGUGCAGGUCUUUGUGGCUGUCCAUGUG
ensembl:lncRNA